GGAUCUGAAUCCCAAUACCAAGAUGACAACUGGCUUUGGCAUGAUUUAUGAUUCCUUGGAUUAUGCAAAGAAAAGUGAACCCAAACAAAGAG